AACGAACGCUGGCGGCAUGCCUAACACAUGCAAGUCGAACGAGACCUUCGGGUCUAGUGGCGCACGGGUGCGUAACGCGUGGGAACCUGCCCUUAGGUUCGGAAUAACUCCCCGAAAGGGGUGCUAAUACCGGAUAAUGUCUUCGGACCAAAGAUUUAUCGCCUUUGGAUGUGCCCGCGUUGGAUUAGCUAGUUGGUAGGGUAAAAGCCUACCAAGGCGACGAUCCAUAGCUGGUCUGAGAGGAUGAUCAGCCACACUGGGACUGAGACACGGCCCAGACUCCUACGGGAGGCAGCAGUGGGGAAUAUUGGACAAUGGGCGAAAGCCUGAUCCAGCAAUGCCGCGUGAGUGAUGAAGGCCUUAGGGUUGUAAAGCUCUUUUAACCGGGAUGAUAAUGACAGUACCGGGAGAAUAAGCUCCGGCUAACUCCGUG
rnacentral:rRNA from 1 species